GCUUUACAUGCUGGGCAAACUCAUCCACUUCUCUAUCAGAGUGUCUAUGUGGCCGAAUUGUUUCCAGAAAAGACCUCCAGAAAAUAGCUUCCUGUUUCUCCACCGCUCAGACAUGAAGCCCACCCUCAUCUCAGUGCUUGUGAUAAUAUUUAUACUCAGAGGAACAAGAGCCCAGAGUGUGACUCAGCCCGAGAAGAUCCUCUCUGUCUUUAAAGGGGCCCCAGUGGAGCUGAAGUGCUACUAUUCAUAUUCUGGGAGUCCUGAUCUCCUUUGGUAUGUCCAGUACCCCAAACAACGCCUCCAGUUACUCUUGAGGCACAUCCCUAGAGAGAGCAUCAAAGGCUUCACUGCUGACCUUAACAAAAGCGAUACAUCUUUCCAUCUGAAGAAACUAUUCGCUCAAGAGGAAGACUCAGCCACGUAUUACUGUGCUCUAAGUGGCACAGUAGCUGGUUUUGCAAGGAAGCAGAACACAAACCGUUUAGUCACAGGAAAUAUUUCUUUGUAAACUCUCUGUAAGGCCACAGCGGGGCAUUCUUUCUCCAGAAAUUAAUAUUGAGUUUGUCUCCUACAUAUUAUAUCAUCAGUAGUCAGUUAGCUAUAGAUUAACCUCACAGUUUUGUCCAAAAAAAUUCUCAUUAUUUACUCUGCUUAAACUAAUUUUAAAAAUAGUAAAUGUGUUUAUUUUGUCUAGUAGUACAGGAAACAUACUUUUGAAAUAAAAACUAUAUUGC